AUUGAACGCUGGCGGCAUGCUUUACACAUGCAAGUCGAACGGUAACAGGGUGCUUGCACCGCUAACGAGUGGCGAACGGGUGAGUAAUACAUCGGAAUGUACCCAGUAAUGGGGGAUAACGCUUCGAAAGGAGUGCUAAUACCGCAUACGCCCUGAGGGGGAAAGUGGGGGAUCGCAAGACCUCGCGCGAUUGGAGCGGCCGAUAUCAGAUUAGGUAGUUGGUGGGGUAAAGGCCCACCAAGCCGACGAUCUGUAGCUGGUCUGAGAGGACGACCAGCCACACUGGAACUGAGACACGGUCCAGACUCCUACGGGAGGCAGCAGUGGGGAAUUUUGGACAAUGGGCGCAAGCCUGAUCCAGCAAUGCCGCGUGCAGGAUGAAGGCCUUCGGGUUGUAAACUGCUUUUGUACGGAACGAAACGGUUCUCUCUAAUACAGGGGGCUAAUGACGGUACCGUAAGAAUAAGCACCGGCUAACUACGUGCCAGCAGCCGCCGUAA
rnacentral:rRNA from 1 species